ensembl:lncRNA
GAGUCCCGGUGUCCGUCGGGCUGCAGACUACAGGGUCUAAUGGAGCAGACAGAGAGACAGACGAGGGGCAGACUGAGGGACAUCUGUGAGAGGAGACAGAGGUACGAGGACGCGGCUACAGCAUCCAUGGUGACCACCAAACACAUCUACAAUAUCAACCGCAAGGCCAUCGUCAAGACACACAUGUCUGAGCUGAGGUACGUGGAGUUUGCUGAGGGGUUGGCCAUGAACCUGACAUCGCUAAGGAAACGGUCGGCUGCGUUGCUACGGAAACUGAAGGAGCAGCGAAGCCACGUCCAGAAACAGCUAGAGGACAUGUACCGGCAAGAGGUGGAUGUUGAGAUCAAACUGCGCUCCUGUCAAGGAUCAUGCAACAGGUCCAUCGCUUUCCGUAUCGACCACGACAGCUACAGAUCGCUAGCCAAUCAGAUGGCCCUGUUCAGUAACACCGCCAAGCAUCGGAAGAGCUCUCCUCUUAAUAAGGACAUCGCCAAGAUCAAACUACAGCCGGUGACUGUCGGUCCCCUGCCAUCGACCGCCUAUAAAACCAUCCCCAUGGUCCAGAAGGAACUCCUGACUCAGUUUGAGGAUCUAGAACAGAAUCAUGUGGUUCUAGAAGAGGUUCUAGAAGAAACGGAAUGCCUGGGUUCUGAAAGGGAGAGAGGAAAAGGAGAAGCAGGCGUUCUAGAAUGUAAAUAAUAAACUCAGAUAGAGAUCUCUGCCUCUCUGUGAUCUCUUGGUUCGGUUCUGAUAGAUAUGUUAUUAUGAACAUAUUGGGGUCAUAUUUUUAUUUACUUCUAAAGGACUGCUGUUUUAAUUAACAUAAACUAUCAUUAUAUACAGCCACGGGAAGUAGGGGUGUUGAGGAUGCCUCACUGGGGUGAGAGGUGUCACUGCAGAAACACUUGUUUGAAUCCAUGCUGCAUCACGUCUGGCUGUGAUUGGGUGUCCCAUAGGGACAAUUGGCCCAGCGUUGUCCAGGGUGUCAUUGUAAAUAAGAAUUUGUUCUUAACUGACAUGAUAAAUUAAACUAAUAUUUCUCUUGUCAGAGAGUCUUAAAAUAAGCAGCAGGUUGGGAAGAAAACAUUCUGUCAGCACUCUCUUGACGAAGAGAUUCUCAACCCCCUCUCCCAGGACUAACGAAGAGAUUCUCAACCCCCUCUCCCAGGACUAACGAAGAGAUUCUCAACCCCCUCUCCCAGGACUAACGAAGAGAUUCUCAACCCCCUCUCCCAGGACUAACGAAGAGAUUCUCAACCCCCUCUCCCAGGACUAACGAAGAGAUUCUCAACCCCCUCUCCCAGGACUAACGAAGAGAUUCUCAACACCCUCUUCCAGCACUAACGAAGAGAUUCUCAACCCCCUCCUCCAGCACUAACGAAGAGAUUCUCAACCCCCUCCUCCAGCACUAACAAAGAGAUUCUCAACCCCCUCCCCCAGGACUAACGAAGAGAUUCUCAACCCCCUCCUCCAGGACUAACAAAGAGAUUCUCAACCCCCUCCUCCAGGACUAACGAAGAGAUUCUCAACCCCCUCCGCCAGGACUAACAAAGAGAUUCUCAACCCCCUCCGCCAGAACUAACAAAGAGAUUCUCAACCCCCUCCUCCAGGACUAACGAAGAGAUUCUCAACCCACUCCUCCAGGACUAACAAAGAGAUUCUCAACCCCCUCCUCCAGGACUAACGAAGAGAUUCUCAACCCACUCCUCCAGGACUAACAAAGAUAUUCUCAACCCCCUCCUCCAGGACUAACGAAGAGAUUCUCAACCCCCUCCUCCAGGACUAACGAAGAGAUUCUCAACCCCCUCCGCCAGAACUAACGAAGAGAUUCUCAACCCCCUCCUCCAGGACUAACGAAGAGAUUCUCAACCCACUCCUCCAGGACUAACAAAGAUAUUCUCAACCCCUUCCUCCAGGACUAACGAAGAGAUUCUCAACCCACUCCUCCAGGACUAACAAAGAGAUUCUCAACCCCUUCCUCCAGGACUAACAAAGAUAUUCUCAACCCCCUCUUCCAUCACUAACGAAGGGAUCUUCAACCCCACCAGCACUAACAAAGAGAUUCUCACCCCCCCAGCACUAAACAUCUUCCUGCGGCCAGGUCUAUAUGUAUAUUAUGAUAUACUUCUGCAUUGUUGAAUACUCCUUUCUUAUUGGCUAGAAAGGCAUUCUAGAAUGUACAUUAACCAGAUAACGGGACAGUUGGAAAUGAUAUCAGGACACCUUGCAAUAUGCACUUGCAGACCAUACUUGCUACACAGAUACAGAAAGAUAAAACCAACAACCACACAAACUGAAGUUGGGAACAUUGUAAACGCAGGUCCAACGAGGAACAAAUGUAGCUAGCUAGUAUUUUAUUAAUUUACCUUUUGGUGCCUCUGAUGACAACGUGAUGAGUGAUGAACAGGAAUUCCUUCGGUCCUCUCUGGUGCUAUGCUGUCAAAUCCUCCCUCAUGUUUCUAGUUUAGUGUCACUAUGCUGUCAAAUCCUCCCUCAUAUUUCUAGUUUAGUGUCACUAUGCUGUCAAAUCCUCCCUCGUGUUUCUAGUUUAGUGUCACUAUG